rnacentral:rRNA from 1 species
CCUACGGGAGGCAGCAGUGGGGGAUAUUGCACAAUGGGGGAAACCCUGAUGCAGCGACGCCGCGUGAGUGAAGAAGUAUUUCGGUAUGUAAAGCUCUAUCAGCAGGGAAGAAAAUUACCGUACCUGACCGAGAAGACCCGGCCAAAUACGUGACAGCAGCCGAGGUAAAACGUAGGGGGCAAGCGUUAUCCGGAUUUACUGGGUGUAAAGGGAGCGUAGACGGUUCUGUUAGGCCGGAGGGAAAGCCCGGGGACCAACCCCGGGACGGCUUUGGAAACUGUGGAACUGGAGUACAGGAGGGGUAGGCGGAAUUCCUGGUGUAGCGGUGAAAUGCGUAGAUAUCAGGAGGAACACCGGCGGCGAAGGCGGCCUGCUGGACUGAGACUGACGUUGAGGCUCGAAAGCGUGGGGAGCAAACAGGAUUAGAUACCCUAGUAGUC